GGCAGCAGUGGGGAAUCUUCGGCAAUGGACGGAAGUCUGACCUAGCGACGCCGCGUGAGGGAAGAAGGCCUUCGGGUCGUAAACCUCUGUCAUGGGGGACGAAGGAAGUGACGGUACCCCAAGAGGAAGCCCCUGCUAACUACGUGCCAGCAGCCGCGGUAAUACGUAGGGGGCUAGCGUUGUCCGGAUUUACUGGGCGUAAAGGGCGAGUAGGCGGCAUGUUAAGUCAGGUGUGAAAUUCCAGGGCCCAACCCUGGGACUGCGCUUGAAACUGGCAAGCUAGAGGGCAGGAGAGGGAAGUGGAAUUCCCGGUGUAGCGGUGGAAUGCGUAGAUAUCGGGAGGAACACCAGUGGCGAAGGCGGCUUCCUGGACCGUACCUGACGCUGAGGAGCGAAAGCUGGGGGAGCAAACAGGAUUAGAUACCCUGGUAGUCCCAGCCGUAAACGAUGAGUGCUAAGUGU
rnacentral:rRNA from 1 species